AACGAACGCUGGCGGCAUGCCUUACACGUGCAAGUCGAACGGUAACAGGUCUUCGGAUGCUGACGAGUGGCGAACGGGUGAGUAAUGCAUCGGAACGUGCCCAGUAGUGGGGGAUAGCCCGGCGAAAGCCGGAUUAAUACCGCAUACGACCUGAGGGUGAAAGGGGGGGAUCGCAAGACCUCUCGCUAUUGGAGCGGCCGAUGUCAGAGUAGCUAGCUGGUGGGGUAAAGGCCUACCAAGGCAACGAUCUGUAGUUGGUCUGAGAGGACGACCAGCCACACUGGGACUGAGACACGGCCCAGACUCCUACGGGAGGCAGCAGUGGGGAAUUUUGGACAAUGGGCGCAAGCCUGAGCCAGCAAUGCCGCGUGCAGGAAGAAGGCCUUCGGGUUGUAAACUGCUUUUGUCAGGGAAGAAAUCUCCUGGGUUAAUACCUCGGGAGGAUGACGGUACCUGAAGAAUAAGCACCGGCUAACUACGUGCCAGCAGCCGCCGUAAAAC
rnacentral:rRNA from 1 species